rnacentral:rRNA from 1 species
AUACGAAGGGGGCUAGCGUUGCUCGGAAUUACUGGGCGUAAAGGGAGCGUAGGCGGACUGUUUAGUCAGAGGUGAAAGCCCAGGGCUCAACCUUGGAAUUGCCUUUGAUACUGGCAGUCUUGAGUACGGAAGAGGUAUGUGGAACUCCGAGUGUAGAGGUGAAACUCGUAGAUAUUCGGAAGCACACCAGUGGCGAAGGCGACAUACUGGUCCGUUACUGACGCUGAGGCUCGAAAGCGUGGGGAGCAAACAGGAUUAGAAACCCUAGUAGUCC